rnacentral:other from 1 species
CUUCCCGAGCCGGAACGAAAAAGUGUUUGUGGAUUUGGUUCCUGAAUACUUUUGGCUUUGUGGUUGUGAUGUUGUGUUUGCAAGUUGUCUGACGAUUUCAGACAUAGUAGCUAGGCUACUGUUUUUUUCACUUCCUGUACAUUUACCCUGUCUGUCCAUAGUGAUUAGUAGCACCGCAAUUUGCGGUGCUUUUUUUU